GUCUACAACCAUACCACCAUGAACGUGUCCAAUCUUGUCUGAUCUGGGAAGCUAAGUAGGGUCAGGCCUGGUUAGUACUUGAAUUUCUCUGAUAUUUUCUUAUUGUUAGGUU
rnacentral:rRNA from 1 species